UGGUUCUGGCAUCGAUGAAGAACGCAGCGAAAUGCGAUAAGUAAUGUGAAUUGCAGAAUUCAGUGAAUCAUCGAAUCUUUGAACGCACAUUGCGCCCUUUGGUAUUCCGGAGGGCAUGCCUGUUCGAGCGUCAUUUCAACCCUCAAGCCUAGCUUGGUCUUGGGCUUCGCCGCAUGCGGCGGGCCUCAAAGUCAGUGGCGGUGCCAUCGUGCUCUACGCGUAGUAAACAUCAUCCUCGUGUGUGAGCCGCGGUGGUCGCUUGCCAGCAACCCCAAACUUUUAUGGUUGACCUCGGAUCAGGUAGGGAUACCCGCUGA
rnacentral:misc_RNA from 1 species